AGAGGAGACUUGCCCGAGGACCCCAGCUCUUGAUUGUCCGAACGCAAUUCUUGUGCUACAUGUUAACCAAACCAAGAAUUGUGUCUGGGCAUCUGAAGCCGGGUUUUGUCCAAUUGCCUUCCCAUC
rnacentral:precursor_RNA from 17 species